CACGUAGGGCGCGAGCGUUGUCCGGAAUUAUUGGGCGUAAAGAGCUCGUAGGCGGCCUGUUGCGUCCGCUGUGAAAGCCCGGGGCUUAACCCCGGGUCUGCAGUGGAUACGGGCAGGCUAGAGGUAGGUAGGGGAGAAUGGAAUUCCCGGUGUAGCGGUGAAAUGCGCAGAGUAUCGGGAGGAACACCGGUGGCGAAGGCGGUUCUCUGGGCCUUACCUGACGCUGAGGAGCGAAAGCGUGGGGAGCGAACAGG
rnacentral:rRNA from 1 species